rnacentral:lncRNA from 1 species
AUUUAUUUAACAUGUACACAUGGGAGCCUUCCAAAUGAAGAACCAACUUCCCAAUGAGGUUACAGAAAGAAUGGAGGCUUGGAUCCUGGUAAAACAGGUUAUGGGAGGGAAGAGAAGAGGAAUUCUGUGGAGCAGAUUACUACGGAGAAUGAAUGACUCCAGUAACAGAGAUUAACUUGUAGAUAGUUCUCUUUGGAAUCUGAACAGCCCUUGGAGACAUCAGGAUACUUGGAAAAGGAUCUGCUCAGGUGUGCUUACAUCUUGGUCUUCUUUCCUGCAAUAAACAAUGACAACAGGGAGGGAACAAGAAUAAUUCUUCUCCUUGGUGGGUUUGGGUCUUAGGUGGAUAAAGGAACUCCAGAUUCCAUGGGAGAGACAGUGGGGGUGGGGGAGUCAGAGAGAUCCCAGUUUAACAGGUCAAAACACCAUCUUUGGGGAUGUUGAUUUCUGAGCCCCAACACAACUAUCUAUUUCUGCCACUAAAAUGCUUAUUAAACAAAAAACAACAGAUACCCAUUGGAGAGCUCCUUUCUCUGUUAAUCCACUCGACUAUAAUAAAAUACCAAAGAUGGCUAUAAUAAACUGCUGAGAUGGGAUAAUUCCCUUGACCCCCAUCUCAGGACUUGCAAUAGGGGUGUGGCUCAUUUACUCAGCCUCCCCGUGCUCAAUCCCCGUGCAAGAGGGAGCAUGCGAGUGAGCAGGUGCGGGCCCCAGAGUGAACCAACGCUGGAACUGGCCAAUCACUCCUCUCUGGUGGGAGCAGGCUCUGUGCAGGCCCUGCAUCGGUGUCCAACCAAUGCUCUUUGAGCUCUGCCAUCCUGGGACAGCCAAGUGCCAACCAGCUCAGUGGAGGAUGGCAGCCCUUGCCCUCUCUGCACCCAGGUUCUUGUCCGGCAUCCAGGAAGAAUCAGGUCUCACAAAUGGCUUGAAAGGCAGUGUAUGUGGAGGAUUUUAUUGGGCAAUGGAAGUGGCUCUCAGCGGGAUAGGGAGUUGGAAAGAGGAUGGUGCCCAAAGAAGGUGAUGUUUCCCUGAAGCCUGGCUGUUUCCAGCCAGACCCCUCUCCAAAGCUGCACCGGCUGAAGUUAGCCAUAUCUUUCCAUAGUCUCUGAUGCUCAGUUGCUUCUCUGCUUGCCAUUAAAUCACUUGAAUCCCUGAUGCUUAGCAGCUUGUAUCCCGAGCACUCAGCCGCUUGUGUUGCUCUGCCAGCUGAAGUCUUUUUAUGGGCACAGGAUGGGGCAUGGAAGGCCAAAAAGGCGUCAUUUGGGUGGAAAAACAGGGUCAGCUGUUUUCACUUAGGGCCACAGUUCCAGGCUCAAGGGUGGGGUUUAGUCGGGAGCCCAGUCCUUCUGUAUCAAUACCAAAGACUGCCAUAAUGGAAAUGCCAAAACUGCUAUAGUAAAAUACCAAAGACUGGAUGGCUUAUAACCAACGUUUAUUUCUCACCGUUCUGGAGGCUGGGAAGUCCAAGGUGCUGGCAGGUGCGGUGCUUGGUGAGGGCCAGCUUCCUAGUUCAGACUUGGUUCAGUUUUUUGGUUUGUCCUCAUUAUGAAAAACAGGGACAGACCACCCAGGCUUUCUACAAACGAGUCAGUUUUUUGCCUUUGAAGUUAACCUCUAACCUUGUGAAACGGCGACAGAUAAGGACAUGGGGUUCAAGAAAACGGGGCAUAGUGGAAAAUCAGGGGCAUUAGCACCCAACGAUGUGCGUUGAAACCCUAGUUGUUUUUCUCCUUCCCAGUUGCUGAAAUCAGCCCUUCUGGCCGAUUCGCGGGGUUCUCACCGGGAAGUUGGGGCUGUCGCGACCGUCCGCGGGGCCUCGGGAGCUCCUGUGGGGCUGGGCCCGGGACCUGUCCCCGGGGAGGCCGCCCAGUUUG